GAGCAACGGUAGAGAUGUCGUUGUGGAGAAAACACAGAUGAAGAACAUCAGAAAUCCACACCAUCUCCCACCCUGAAAUAAAAAGAGAGGGACGAAAAGAAGAAUGGGAGAACAGUAAUAGACAGCCAGAGACCUUAAGCAAAACAGCAGACUAAAACAGGAAACACUUCCUUCCAACAUCUGAAGAGAAAGCUGCAUCCCACCAACACCAGGGGAUCCCUCAGACACCUCCUGUGGGGCCACUGCCAGAAGCGACAUCUCUUCUCAGCUAACAACUC